rnacentral:rRNA from 1 species
GCCAGACUCCUACGGGAGGCAGCAGUGGGGGAUAUUGCACAAUGGGGGGAACCCUGAUGCAGCGACGCCGCGUGGGUGAAGGAGUAUUUCGGUAUGUAAAGCCCUAUCGGCAGGGAAGAAGCAAGACGGUACCUGACUAAGAAGCCCCGGCUAACUACGUGCCAGCAGCCGCGGUAAUACGUAGGGGGCGAGCGUUAUCCGGAUUCACUGGGUGUAAAGGGAGCGUAGACGGCCAUGCAAGCCAGGGGUGAAAGCCCGGGGCCCAACCCCGGGACUGCCCUUGGAACUGUGCGGCUAGAGUGCGGGAGGGGCAGGCGGAAUUCCUGGUGUAGCGGUGAAAUGCGUAGAUAUACGGAGGAACACCAGUGGCGAAGGCGGAUUGCUGGACAGUAACUGACGCUGAGGCGCGAAAGCGUGAGGAGCAAACAGGAUUAGAUACCCCCGUA